rnacentral:tRNA from 1 species
GGCCGUUUAGCUUAAUGAUAGAGUACUUGACUGACAUUCGAGAGGUACAGGGUUCAACUCCUGUAACUGUCU